GCAGGAUGGUAAUUGAGGAUCUAUUGCUAUAUAAAUCACAAACCUUUGUCCAUCCAUUUCACUUCCUGUUUUAAUUCUAAAGAGAACAUACUCCUCAGCUCAUUUAUCUAUCUCUCUCUCGAGCAGAAACAUAACUUUUCCCUUUCUCUUUUCUCUCUCACAAACUCACCAUCAUCAUCAACAACCCCAAAGUCACUACACUUCCCAUUGAUUCACCACUUGAGAAAGUCAGAACAACAAGCGUAACUCUCUUUUUCUCUCUCGCCUCACUCCCUCAAAUUGAUGGCAAAUCCCUCACUUUGAAUCAAUGAAAGGAAAACCCAUUGCAUGUGUGUUUAUGUUCAAAUUCAAGCUCUUGCUGAUUAGGAAUAGAGGUGAGAAUAAUGAAAUUAGUUCCUUUUCCAUCCUUCUUUGUUCUCAUUUAAGUUUUCAAAACUAAACCCUUAUUCAUUCUUUGUUGUGGCUGCAUGUGAGGAAUUGUUGUUUUGAACCUAUGCAUAAAUGUUUGGAGCUGCAAAUUGAGUGAAACAAGGAUUGGAAGACCCUUUAAUGGGUUAGAAGAAUUGGGAGAGCUCAUAGCCAGCCUUUUUGCCUCUUUGGUGGUUAUUGACACUUUAAGGUAAGAAAUUCUGCACAUUUUUGUUUGUACCAGUCGUCAGUAAUCGAGUUGUAGCUGACAAACCGAAAAUCCAUUUCGUAUGGCACUUACAUGUAUGGAAAGCUAACGAAAUUUCCUUCAGUUGGCUACAAGUUUCGUGAAAUUUGGAUCAGUAUUGAAGCCGGUAGAUGCUUCUGAAGUCAGGGCACUGAUGCUGUCAAAAUUCUGGUUUUGUGACUGCGGGUUUGAGCUUCAAGAGGCACGAACAUCCGGAACAACUCAGUGACGCUAGAAAUAUCAGGUGGGUUUGUUUAAGUAGAGACAUGGCAACCAUAAGUCCAAAGCAUAGGAUUUUAAUUUAUUUUCAUGUUGGGAUAUGAUUAGUAACCUAGAUAACUCAUAAAUGGCUUAAUUAUGAAAUUGGACUUAAUUCCCCAUUGCAUGUGACUGUGUUGGUUGUAUCUAUGAUGGUUAAGGUGUUAUAAAUGAUUAGAGACAAUUAGGGACUGUUUUAGAACUCUGUUUAUUGAUUUUGCAGUUUUGCACGAAAACUUGCAUUGGUGCAAGGCUUGGUUGAAUCGGUUCAACCAACUCAGAACAAGUACAAUGGGUAAAACUGGGCCUGUUGAGUCGGUGCGUCAUAAUGAUGAACCGGUGCAAGAGGUUCCAGAGUUACAGGUUGGAAAUUCUGGGCAAAUUGUACCGGUGCGAGCAAGGCUUGAGUCAGUGCAAGAAUCCUAGGAAAACAAAAUAGUUUCCAAGUAGUUAUGAACCGGUGCAAGGAGAGUUUGAGCCGGUGCAAAUGGUAAGUUUGCACCGGUACAAGCCAACUUUGAAUCGGUGCAUAAAUCUUAGAGUGGUCCCUAUGGAGUCCAAAGGCACUGAUGCACCGGUGCAAGUUAAUCUUGAACCGGUGCAUCCUGACAAAACAGUUUGAAAAGCUUGAGUACUUAACCAUCAGAAAUCGAACUGAACGUACAUGCUUUAAAACAUGAGUAUAGGUAGCAACAUGAAUUAGAAACCUAUGCAUGGAUCUAUUUGAUCACUUAGGACUUCCCGGGAUGGGUUGUUAUGUUCAGUUAAUUAAUUAGAGUAGUUGAUCAAUUAGUGGUUAAUUCCCCAACCACUUAUUACUAGAGUUUAAUUGUUGUGCACCGUCGGUGUAAUUUUUUUUUACACAUACAUCCAAUAACGUGUUGCCACAUCAUUUAAUGAAUGUGACACAUCAUGUGUUUUUAAUUACCAUACAUGAUGUGUCGGUAUAUUAUUGGACGAAUGUGCAAAAUAACUUUACACCGACGGUGCAUAUAAAUUAAAUUCUUAUUACUAUAGCAUUAUGCUAUGAGAGGUUUCCGUACAUUAGUAGGGAAUCCGUUAAGUUAUGUAAUUAAUGUGAGUAAGACCAACGUGGCAUAGCUAUGUCACAACGGGUAGUGGAGAACAUCCUAAGAGGAGUACAUCCUUAGUGGACCUUUCGAGAUAUACUCACCUCGGAAGCUUCCUGUAAAAUGAACAAGAUUAUAAUUGUGUGAUUCACUUUUAAUUAUGUUAAGCUAUGUUUUAAUGAAUAUAAGAUUAUUAGUGAUCAACUAUUUUCAGGACCCUGGUGUUAGUACACCAAGUAGAGGGUAGUAAGAAACUCACUAAGGCUUAGUAGUCUCACCCCACAAUUAUUGAUUAUAGGUAGCAGGUUGUCAUUCGAGAAGGUGGAACUGGGACGGAUCAACAAGGCUUAUUCAGUGGUUAUCUGUUUUAGACUAAAGGGAGAUUUUGUAUAGGAUUAUGCCAUAUGUACAUGUAUUUAUCAGUUAUCAUGGUUCUAAUGUAAACUUAUUAACGGUUACAUUAUGACAGCUUAUUCAGUUUAAUUAAAUCAUGUAUAUUUGGUAUUUCCUUCAGACUACUUGUGUAAAAGAUCAGUUUUAUUUCCAAAAUUUUAAUGUUUCCCGAUUCAGUUA
rnacentral:lncRNA from 1 species